UAAGUGGCAUCCCGAUAGUAAGUGGGCGUCUAGUAGACCAUUACAUACAAUAUAAUGGUCUACUAGACGCCCACUUACUAUCGGAGUGUCACU
rnacentral:pre_miRNA from 1 species